rnacentral:rRNA from 1 species
UUGGCGAACGGGUGAGUAACGCGUGAGUAACCUGCCCUAGAGUGGGGGACAACAGUUGGAAACGACUGCUAAUACCGCAUAAGCCCACGGAUCCGCAUGGAUCUGCGGGAAAAGGAUUUAUUCGCUUUAGGAUGGACUCGCGUCCAAUUAGCUAGUUGGUGAGGUAACGGCCCACCAAGGCGACGAUUGGUAGCCGGACUGAGAGGUUGAACGGCCACAUUGGGACUGAGACACGGCCCAG